UCUAUCCCAGAUGCUACAGGUGGAAGGCAAGGAACAGCUUAGGAUGGGGCACCAACCCAUCUCAGGGCACACUCAUAUACACACCAUUCAUUCACACCUAUGGGCUAUUCGGCAACCACAGUCAGCCACAGCAUAUUUUGGGACUGUGGGGGGAUACUGGAGUACCUGGAGGACAGCCCAUGAGGACACAGGGAGAACAUGCAAACUCCCCACAUGUGGAACCCUGGCAGAGACUCAAACCCAGCUUCCAGAGAUGUGAGGCAACAAUGCCAACCACUGGACCACCCCUUGGCCUACACACUCCCCUCCUUCUUCAGCUCUACCAAACACAGGCACAUAGACAGACACAUCCUCCUGGGAUGUCAUUCCUAAAUAUGUGAGCACAGCCCAUUUAUAAACAGUGAAGAAGGGCCGAGAUCACUCACUGUUUCAUCUCAUGAGUUACAGUGCUGAACGUCCUACCACACACUUCGUAACGGUACCAAUUCCCAGACGGCUGAGUCCGGGGUAGCGGCCCCCCACCUGAGGAUGUCAGAGAAGCAGCAUCUGGGGGCACAAACGCGCCCCUUCGUCAUGAAGAAGGAGGAGGAGUAUGUGAGAGUCAACAUCCUCAGCCGAGACGGAGGUGUAGUUACUGCUGAGACUGAGAAAGGGAAGGUAGGAUCUUCUUUCUCGCAGUACAGGCACCGCUGUUGCAGUUUCAUUGUAAGGAAAUUGAAAUGCACUGUUAGUAUAGGGAUGUGAAAAGGGAUGUACAACAAUGAAACUGAUGAAAUUAUGUCCCUUUAACAGACACUCGUUGAAAGAAGUGAUGAAGAAAACCAUUUAACCAUAAAUACCUAUUACUGGAGCACCAAAUAACAAUGUCUAACAAGUUUUUAAUUAUUUUUUUUCCAAAAUUUGACCCUCCCUUUUUAAAAAAGAAAUAAUAGACCUCUAUCUAAUGGCUGAGCUGUCAGUUUACGGUGAAUAGAAGCUGAAAAAUCGCAGAAUUUUUAACAGUAUUCCUGAAAUAAUCAUUUUAAUCUCUCGUUAGAACCCUGAAACAAUAUAUUGUUUUUUUUUGCACUCCAUCAACAUGAAUUUGGCCUACAAACGUCUCAUCAAUUACAAUGGCACACAGGUCUGUAUGUACUGACAUGCUGCAUCAUACAGCAUGUCUGGUUCCUACGAAUCAAGGGGGAGCACAGCAUUGCUACCCUUUCCUCUGCCAUUAUAAAAAUUGAUGUCCAUCACUAAGAAUGAAAGCAAUGAAGGUCUCACUACACUGCAGUACGUUUCCCUGUAAUAUACAUAUCCAUACUAAGGCAUAUGUUAACGCAUAAGAUUGUUUUUUAAUAAUAUAAUCUAAUUUCUUUGCUUGUUCACCCUUUACUGACAUCAACCACGCAGUUGAGCAUGUUUUUGUGAAAUUCUGGCACAAUUUAGUAUCAUAUUCCUAUCCUUUAAAGAAUCUACUGUACUAUAUAAAAAACAUCAUGUUGUGCCCCUAACCUAACAAAUCCCCACUUUAUGCCCUAAUGUUUGGGGAGUGAUCUGUGGUGAUGCACUUGUCCUCGGAGCGGGGAAAGUGCAGGCACUGUAGCUGUGUUAGAAUAAGAUUCCCUUUAUGCAGAUUGAUUAAGGGGGGUUGGAGCCCCACACCAAUCAGGAUGCUGGGCAGAUUUGUUUUCUUCCCAUAGGUUUUUUCACUGUCAAAGUCAGCUCUACUGCAUGGUUUAGAAGUCAGUUAAAGGGUCAUGACAUUCAGUUUUAAAACACUUUCAUAGACUGUAUUAUUUUCAUAAUUUUCAAUAUCAUGUUUUCUUUUCGUAUGUUUUUUUUUACCUUCCAAAAACAGAGUUACACAAAUUGAACAGAAAAUAUAAAUAUUAAAUACAAUUACAGUUACGGACCAGCUGUGGGCCCCCCACCUGCCGGGCGUCGUGUGUUAUGCCGGACAAACCUGGUAGAUCUAAAUGUAGAGUGAGGUUGUGCUGGGAGUGACUGGUAGAGGCCAAUUGUUGUAGGGUUUAACAUUAGAAAAUGCCUAUAAUUUGAUUUGUUGCUGUGUUUUUUCCUUGACUUCCCCAUGGCUGAUUGCUCUUAUUUAAUUAGUGCAAUUGUGAGCACAGUUAGCAAACAUCCCAUAUUGAAAAGAUUACAGGAUGCGAUUUGUCCUAUAUUUAUUCUCAUUGAAAGUGGAAACCCCAGUUGUUUGUAAUCAAUUGCAUUCUCUAUGUUGGACUGGAUGGCAAUACUUCAAGAAGUGAAAUGAGUUUGCAGCUGCAACAACUUGAAACGCUCAAGUAAAGUACAAAUCUAAAAAAAAAAACUACUGAAGUACCAUAACAAAGUAUUUGUAUUUCAAUACUUCACACCUCUGCUCCGGAGGCCAAUCAGAGUGCAGCACUGGCAUUUGUGGAAACAAGAACUUCGGAGUGGGAGAAGUUUGAUGUGGCCGAUGAAAAUGACAUUCGAUCAGUCUCAAAGACAUUCUGGCAGGUGAUUCUGAAGGGAGAAGCAGGGCUUUCCCCCGUUGAGUACAGCAGGGAUGGAGUACUAUUGACCUCAAUAGUCGGAUGAUGGAAGGAGCACUUUGAGGACCUCCUGAAUCCUGCUGAAACGCCUUCCAUAAUGGAAGCAGAGUCAGACGAUUGGAGGAGCACUCGGCCAUCACUAGGGCUGAAGUCAUGGAGGCAGACUGGGCGAAUGAUAGGCCGGAUUGGUGCAGCAACAGCAGUUAUGUGGAUAUUGUACUGGUCUGUCGUGGUGAAGAAUGAAGUGUCGAAAGGUGACACUUUCAAUUUACUGGUCGACCUAUAUUCCUAUCCCUCUCCUAAAGUCAUGAUCGUUGGGUAAAGACCAAAAGAAUACAAGAGGUAGAAAUUAGCUUCUUUCACAUAGCAUCUGGACUCACCCUUAUAGAUAGGGUGAGGAGCUCAGACAUGUGUGAGGGGUUAGGGGCGUAUGCCAGGCAUCUCAGUAACAUAUAACUCAGUCAGUGGAGGACAAAAUAUAAGACUGAUGGAGCAGGACACCAGCGCUCACCUGGAGCGCAUGAAGAAAAACAUGGAGCAGACGAUCAAAGACCUGCAGCACCGGCUGGAUGAAGCUGAGCAGAUUGCAGUGAAGGGGGGCAAGAAGCAGGUGCAGAAGCUGGAAGCUCGGGUAAGAUAUCUGGAAGCGGAGAUGGAGGCAGAGCAGAGGAAGAGUGGCAACGGUCUGGAAGGAAUCCGCAAAUAACGAAGAGGACCAUGAGAACAUGGCUUGUCUUCAGGACUUGGUGGACAAACUGCAGCAUAAAGUGAAGACCUACAAAAGAGCUUCAGAAGAAGCUUUCUGUGACCCAGGAGGAACAAGCUAACACCAACCUAGGCAAGUUCCGCAAGCUGCAGCACGAGCUGGACGAAGCCGAGGAGAGAGCCGACAUCGCCGAGUUGCAGGUCAACAAGCUGCCUUGCUGGACUUCACUGGGCAAGUUUACUAAUCUCAA